UUCGGAGAGUUUGAUCCUGGCUCAGGAUGAACGCUGGCGGCGUGCCUAAUACAUGCAAGUCGAGCGAACUGAUUAGAAGCUUGCUUCUAUGACGUUAGCGGCGGACGGGUGAGUAACACGUGGGCAACCUGCCUGUAAGACUGGGAUAACUUCGGGAAACCGAAGCUAAUACCGGAUAGGAUCUUCUCCUUCAUGGGAGAUGAUUGAAAGAUGGUUUCUGGCUAUCACUUACAGAUGGGCCCGCGGUGCAUUAGCUAGUUGGUGAGGUAACGGCUCACCAAGGCAACGAUGCAUAGCCGACCUGAGAGGGUGAUCGGCCACACUGGGACUGAGACACGGCCCAGACUCCUACGGAGGCAGCAGUAGGGAAUCUUCCGCAAUGGACGAAAGUUCGCGUGAGUGAUAAACUCUUGUUUGUUAGGGAAGAACAAGUACAAGAGUAACUGCUUGUACCUUGACGGUACCUAACCAGAAAGCCACGGCUAACUACGUGCCAGCAGCCGCGGUAAUACGUAGGUGGCAAGCGUUAUCCGGAAUUAUUAAGGCGUAAAGCGCGCGCAGGCGGUUUCUGUCUGAUAGAAAGCCCACGGCUCAACCGUGGAGGGUCAUUGGAAACUGGGAACUUGAGUGCAGAAGAGAAAAGCGGAAUUCCACGUAGCGGUGAAAUGCGUAGAGAUGUGGAGAACACCAGUGGCGAAGGCGGCUUUUUGGUCUGUAACUGACGCUGAGGCGCGAAAGCGUGGGGGAGCAAACAGGAUUAGAUACCCUGGUAGUCCACGCCGUAAACGAUGAGUGCUAAGUGUUAGAGGGUUUCCGCCCUUUAGUGCUGCAGCUAACGCAUUAAGCACCUGCCUGGGGAGUACGGUCGCAAGACUGAAACUCAAAGGAAUUGACGGGGCCCGCACAAGCGGUGGAGCAUGGUUUAAUUCGAAGCAACGCGAAGAACCUUACCAGGUCUUGACAUCCUCUGACAACUCUAGAGAUAGAGCGUUCCCCUUCGGGGACAGAGUGACAGGUGGUGCAUGGUUGUCGUCAGCUCGUGUCGUGAGAUGUUGGGUUAAGUCCCGCAACGAGCGCAACCCUUGAUCUUAGUUGCCAGCAUUUAGUUGGGCACUCUAAGGUGACUGCCGGUGAUAAACCGGAGGAAGGUGGGGAUGACGUCAAAUCAUCAUGCCCCUUAUGACCUGGGCUACACACGUGCUACAAUGGAUGGUACAAAGGGCUGCAAGACCGCGAGGUCAAGCCAAUCCCAUAAAACCAUUCUCAGUUCGGAUUGUAGGCUGCAACUCGCCUACAUGAAGCUGGAAUCGCUAGUAAUCGCGGAUCAGCAUGCCGCGGUGAAUACGUUCCCGGGCCUUGUACACACCGCCCGUCACACCACGAGUUUGUAACACCCGAAGUCGGUGGAGUAACCGUAAGGAGCUAGCCGCCUAAGGUGGGACAGAUGAUUGGGGUGAAGUCGUAACAAGGUAGCCGUAUCGGAAGGUGCGGCUGGAUCACCUCCUUUCU
rnacentral:rRNA from 1 species